CGAAAGUUACGCUAAUACCGCAUAUUCUGUGAGCAGGAAAGCAGGGGAUCGCAAGACCUUGCGCUGAUUGAGCGGCCGAUAUCAGAUUAGCUAGUUGGUGAGGUAAAGGCUCACCAAGGCGACGAUCUGUAGCGGGUCUGAGAGGAUGAUCCGCCACACUGGAACUGAGACACGGUCCAGACUCCUACGGGAGGCAGCAGUGGGGAAUUUUGGACAAUGGGGGCAACCCUGAUCCAGCCAUGCCGCGUGAGUGAAGAAGGCCUUCGGGUUGUAAAGCUCUUUCGGCCGGGAAGAAAUCGUAUGGGCUAAUACCCUGUGCGGAUGACGGUACCGGCAUAAGAAGCACCGGCUAACUACGUG
rnacentral:rRNA from 1 species